CUCGCGUCAAAUGUAUGCCAAACCCCUCUAUUAAACCCCAGGCCUUACAAGUUAAAGGAACACUAUAGUCACCUAAAUGACUUUAGCUAAAUAAAGCAGUUUUAGUGUAUAGAUCAUUCCCCUGCAAUUUCACUGCUCAAUUCACUGUCAUUUAGAAGUUAAAUCACUUUGUUUCUGUUUAUGCAGCCCUAGCCACACCUCCCCUGGCUAUGAUUGACAGAGCCUGCAUGAAAAAAAAACUGGUUUCACUUUCAAACAGAUGUAAUUUACCUUGAAUAAUUGUAUCUUAAUCUCUAAAUUGAACUUUAAUCACAUACAGGAGGCUCUUGCAGGGUUUAGUAAGCUAUUAGCAUAGCAGGGGAUAAGAAAAUCUUAAUUAAACAGAACUUGCAAUAAAGAAAGCCUAAAUAGGGCUCUCUUUACAGGAAGUGUUUAUGGAAGGCUGUGCAAGUCACAUGCAGGGAGGUGUGACUAGGGUUCAUAAACAAAG